rnacentral:tRNA from 1 species
AAAUUUAGGAUAAUCACUUAAACCAUGGGCCUUCAAAGCCUGAAACAAGAGCUCCCAAUCUCUUAAUUUCU